GCGAGAGCUCGCUGGCAUUUUGUUUGCAGCAGGGCAGGCAGUGGGUGGUGUGACUUGUGGCGCUGCACUUGAGUUUAGUCAAAAGGCCGAGUUAAAUGAUGCUUCAGUUAAAUAUAUUCUGUAGCAUGAGUGCAGUAAUGCUUUACCUACAUUCUUUAACUGCGGGAACAUAGUGCAUGUGGGAUUAUCUUUGUAAGCUAAAUCCGGAGACCCAGCUCUUCCGAGAGGCGACACGUGGGGCCGUGCCGGGGGACAGGAGCUACCACGUGGCUCGCCGCUGGGAUGCCAGUCCACGGUUGCGGAAUUGAGUGAAUCCCCCGGCCUGGGCACAGGCGUGGUAGCGGCGCUCCAGACUGCAGGCGCGCAGGGUGUCGCUCCGGACCCCGGAGGCCGGUGUGGAGGAAGAGGCGGCCUAGCCGACGGGACUGGGCACAGAGGAACCAGCUCCUCCUGCUGAGGAAGGACAAAUCUGUUUGGAACCUGUUUAGCAGUGUCACCCGUUAUCUAAUAAACUGAAAACUGUGCCUUGGA